CAAAUGAAUAAAGGUGGGGUAA
rnacentral:piRNA from 1 species